rnacentral:lncRNA from 1 species
UUUUAAAUUUCACAAUUAUUUUAAAUUUUAAAUUUUAAAUUUUAAAGUUUAAAAUUUAAAUAUAUUUUUAAAAUUAAAUAGCUUUUCAAAAUUUUUAAUUUGCCAAACAGCUUUUUAAAAUCACUUCAGAAAAAAUCACUUUUAUCUAAACUCCGCCGAACGCUCUAAAGGUUUUAAGCAAAAUCACUUCUCCAAACCAAAAUCACUUUUUCAGAAAUCACUUUUUCAAAAGCUAGGCCAAACAGGCCCAUAAUAAAAGUUCCAUCCAUACUUUUUCAGAAAUCAUUUCA